rnacentral:lncRNA from 1 species
UGCUUUCCAAAUCCCUACUGGGAAGUAAGAUUUAGCAGUGUGAGAGUAAUUAAGCAGAAUACCUCCUUCCUCCAGAUACCAACACAGAUGCAUAAGAAGACAUAGCUGAAUUUUUGAGCAACAGAUGUUAACUUACAAAGGACAAGAUAAGCUGUACUGUGUUCUUUGCAACAGAAGUCAAAUAUCCCAACAUGAGAAGAGCCUCUGUGCAUAUAGGCAAAGAUAACCAACUGUAGCUAAAGGCUCCCGUGUACUUUCAGUACUCAAAAUAGUCAUGCAUAUGGGGAUUCUGUCAGUCAACACCAUAUCUGCUGUUGAUGUUGGUAACAGUGACCAUCAGAAACUUCAGGAAGUGAAAGAAGAUCUCCCAUAGAAAAGGAAACCAUGGAGAACACAGAGAAGAAUCCAAAAAGGACAUGUCUGUUGGCAAACAACUUGGGAGAGAACCAGAAGUGAACCCAGUUGCUUGUGUCAUUAUUUUGCCUUAGCCUCCAAGAGCCUGAACAGCCCAAGGAG